GGACUACUGGGGUUUCUAAUCCUGUUUGCUCCCCACGCUUUCGUGCAUGAGCGUCAGUAUUGGCCCAGGAGGCUGCCUUCGCCAUCGGUGUUCCUCCACAUCUCUACGCAUUUCACCGCUACACGUGGAAUUCCACCUCCCUCUGCCAUACUCCAGUCCCGUAGUUUCAAGCGCAAUUCCCAGGUUAAGCCCGGGGAUUUCACGCCUGACUUGCAGGACCGCCUGCGCACCCUUUACGCCCAGUAAUUCCGAUUAACGCUCGCACCCUACGUAUUACCGCGGCUGCUGGCAC
rnacentral:rRNA from 2 species